AUUGAACGCUGGCGGCAGGCCUAACACAUGCAAGUCGAGCGGAUGAAGGGAGCUUGCUCCUGGAUUCAGCGGCGGACGGGUGAGUAAUGCCUAGGAAACUGCCUGGUAGUGGGGGAUAACGUCCGGAAACGGGCGCUAAUACCGCAUACGUCCUGAGGGAGAAAGUGGGGGAUCUUCGGACCUCACGCUAUCAGAUGAGCCUAGGUCGGAUUAGCUAGUUGGCGGGGUAAAGGCCUACCAGGGCGAAGAUCCGUAACUGGUCUGAGAGGAUGAUCAGUCACACUGGCACUGAGACACGGUCCAGACUCCUACGGGAGGCAGCAGUGGGGAAUAUUGGACAAUGGGCGAAAGCCUGAUCCAGCCAUGCCGCGUGUGUGAAGAAGGUCUUCGGAUUGUAAAGCAAUUUAAGUUGGGAGGACGGGCAGUAAGUUAAUACCUUGCUGUUUUGACGUUACCAACAGAAUAAGCACCGGCUAACUUCGUG
rnacentral:rRNA from 1 species